rnacentral:rRNA from 1 species
CCUACGGGAGGCAGCAGUGGGGGAUAUUGCACAAUGGGGGAAACCCUGAUGCAGCGACGCCGCGUGGGUGAAGAAGCGCCUCGGCGCGUAAAGCCCUGUCAGCAGGGAAGAAAAUGACGGUACCUGAAGAAGAAGCCCCGGCUAACUACGUGCCAGCAGCCGCGGUAAUACGUAGGGGGCAAGCGUUAUCCGGAUUUACUGGGUGUAAAGGGGGCGCAGACGGCGAUGCAAGCCAGGAGUGAAAGCCCGGGGCCCAACCCCGGGACUGCUCGUGGAACUGCGUGGCUAGAGUGCAGGAGGGGCAGGCGGAAUUCCUGGUGUAGCGGUGAAAUGCGUAGAUAGCAGGAGGAACACCGGUGGCGAAGGCGGCCUGCUGGACUGCAACUGACGUUGAGGCCCGAAAGCGUGGGGAGCAAACAGGAUUAGAUACCCCAGUAGUC